ACUUCACGAAAACAAUAGUCCCGACAUUUGGGUUUCGGUUUUUCUUUACUCACCCUGUAGGUUGUUAGAGGGCGCUUAUUUUCGGCUGAUUACAUCAGUUCAUGCAGUUUACAUAUCUUCAUGAGCUUAGGUGCGGGUAGCCAAAGUUCACGGUUGACUUUGUUCCUUAUUAGGUACUUCAUUUUUUUCACAAGUUUUUUUUUUGGAGCAGUUUUCUUUUGUCUCUUUGGCACUGAUAUUAUUUUCCUUAUGAUAACUUUUGUGCAUAAUAUUUGAAUGUAAUGUAUAACUAUUGACCUGGUCUUGUUACAUGUUGCAACCUGACGCUGCUUUUAUCUCCGAUCUCAGUGAAGGUCAGUCAUUGUAAAAAUGAUGAUAAGACAUGAAUCUGGGACUGAAAAACAUUUCCAAUUUUGUUAGGAAAUACUUUCUUGACUCUCCAUAGACUUUGUACACAACCGCUGAAGUAGCGUCGGGUUGCAAUAUUCAUUCUGGAUUACCUUUGGAAUUGUGUAAUAUAUAUUUCUUCUUUUUCUAACUUUACCAUUUAAUUUUUUAAUAUUUAGGGUCUUUUAGACUGUGCAAGCUGAAACAUGUUGAGAAGGUGUUUACUUAAAACAAAAUCUGUACAAAGUGUUUAUAAAUUAUAGCUUUAAAU